CUCCCCUAAUUUAAACAUAUAAGUAGACGAUGGAAAUGUAAACCAAAUGGGAUUCCUUAAGUAAUUGCGAAUGAACAAGGAAAUGCUCAGCUUGAAAAAUGGGGCCUUCGGCUUUGAAUUGUAAUUUUGAAAUGUAUUGCCAAUGGAGGCGCAGGUGCAAGCCUAUUGAAAGAAAGCGUCAAUGAGGGUGAGAUUCCUUUUUGUCAUUUGCAGUCCUCCGUGCACGGUAUAUAUUUGACGAGUCACACUCCUCGGCAUUGGAAUGCAAAGUGGGUGGUAAAUUCCAUGUAAAGGUAAAUAUAUUAUUGAGACUGAUAGCAAACAAGUACCAUGAGGGAAAUAUGAAAAGGACUUUGAAAAGAGAAUUAAAAGAGUCUGCAUUUGCUGAACAGAAAGCAAACAGAAUUGAUCUUGCCUGGUGAGAUUGUUGCGUCUACUUCUGCAUUUCUAUGUUGGAUGUGGGUGCGAUGGUUCUUGCCUUGAAUGUCAGCUUCUUUUUCUGCAAAUCAUUACCCUUGCACAUGAAUGGUAAUUUGCCUGCGGGUAUUGGAAUGCAUGUGUUUGCCAUGAUUUGUGAUUUGAUACAUGUGUCUGGUGGUACUUGUGUGUGUUCCUUUGUCAAAGGGGAAGGUUUGCUUCCUUGAGCACCACAAGCCCUUGCACAAUGUUGCUGGCAAAUGUUUUUUUUUUAUCCUUUUUUAAAAAGGGACCA
rnacentral:rRNA from 1 species